rnacentral:rRNA from 1 species
GACGAACGCUGGCGGCGUGCCUAAUACAUGCAAGUCGAACGCAGUGGGGACGGGUGAGUAACACGUGGGUAACCUCCCAUCAGAGGGGAUAACACUUGGAAACAGGUGCUAAACCGAUACUGAUGGAUGGACUCGCGGUGCAUUAGCUAGUUGGUGUGGUAACGGCUCACCAAGGACACGAUGCUUAGCGUACCUGUGUGAGUGAUCGGCCAGACAAGGGCUGAGACACGGCCCAGACUCCUACGGGAGGCAGCAGUCGUGAAUCUUCGGCGAUGGACGAAAGUCUGACCGCGCAACGCCGCGUGAGUGAAGAAGGUUUUAGGAUCGUAAAACUCUGUUGUUAAAUAAGCGGUAUCUAACCAGAAAGCCACGGAUAGCUACGUGCCAGCCGCCGCGGUAAUUC